UGUWCAAGCCUGCGAGUCUUUGYAGUAAUACAAGGCAGACGGCUCAGUAACACGUAGUCAACCUACCCUAUGGACGAGAAUAAUCUCGGGAAACUGAGCAUAAUUCUUGAUAGAUCAUAAUGCCUGGAAUGGUUUAUGGUUAAAAUGAUUCGUCGCCAUAGGAUGGGACUGCGGCCUAUCAGCUUGUUGGUGAGGUAAUGGCCCACCAAGGCGAUUACAGGUACGGGCUCUGAGAGGAGAAGCCCGGAGAUGGGUACUGAGACACGGACCCAGGCCCUAUGGGGCGCAGCAGGCGAGAAAACUUUGCAAUGUGCGAAAGCACGACAAGGUUAAUCCGAGUGAUUUCUGCUAAAGAAAUCUUUUGYCAGUCAUAAAACCACUGGYGAAUAAGGGGUGGGCAAGUUCUGGUGUCAGCCGCCGCGGUAAAACCAGCACCUCAAGUGGUCAGGAUGAUUAUUGGGCCUAAAGCAUCCGUAGCCGGCUUUGUUAGUUUUCGGUUAAAUCCAUGUGCUCAACGCAUGGGCUGCCGAAAAUACUGCAUGGCUAGGGAGUGGGAGAGGUAGACGGUACUCAGUAGGAAGGGGUAAAAUCCUUUGAUCUAUUGAUGACCACCUGUGGCGAAGGCGGUCUACCAGAACACGUUCGACGGUGAGGGAUGAAAGCUGGGGGAGCAA
rnacentral:rRNA from 1 species